rnacentral:rRNA from 1 species
UACGGAGGGAGCUAGCGUUGUUCGGAAUUACUGGGCGUAAAGCGCACGUAGGCGGUUAUUCAAGUCAGAGGUGAAAGCCCGGAGCUCAACUCCGGAAUAGCCUUUGAAACUAGAUAACUUGAAUCCAGGAGAGGUGAGUGGAAUUCCGGAGUGUAGAGGUGAAAUUCGUAGAUAUUCGGAAGAAACACCAGUGGCGAAGGGCGG